AAUAACGAUAUCGCAAAAUACACCGCAAAAACACUAGACGAUCCACGAACAGUGAACAAAACCGUGUAUAUCAGACCUCAGGACAACAUUCUCACGCAAAGUGAAUUGGUUAAUAUUUGGGAAAGCCUAACCGGAAAUGAAUUAGAAAAGAACAAUAUUGCUGCAAAAGACUUCCUUGCCAACAUUGAACACAUGGAGAUUCCACAUCAAGCAGGGAUAGGACAUUUUUAUCAUAUCUUCUAUGAAGGAUGUCUCACUGAUCACGAAGUCAGAGAAGAUGAAGAAGCGUCAAGUCUAUAUCCGGAUGUCAAAUACAAGCGUAUGGAUGAUUAUUUAAGAAUGUACCUCUGACUACAAUUUGGUCAAAAUCAUAUCUAUGAUAAAUAUGCAUAUCAUAAGUUUGAAGUUUUUAUAUUCA